rnacentral:rRNA from 1 species
GGCCAGACUCCUACGGGAGGCAGCAGUGGGGAAUAUUGGACAAUGGGGGGAACCCUGAUCCAGCGACGCCGCGUGAGUGAAGAAGUAUUUCGGUAUGUAAAGCUCUAUCAGCAGGGAAGAAAAUGACGGUACCUGACUAAGAAGCCCCGGCUAACUACGUGCCAGCAGCCGCGGUAAUACGUAGGGGGCAAGCGUUAUCCGGAUUUACUGGGUGUAAAGGGAGCGCAGGCGGCUUGGCAAGUCUGAUGUGAAAGGCUGGGGCUCAACCCCAGGACUGCAUUGGAAACUGUUAGGCUGGAGUGUCGGAGAGGUAAGCGGAAUUCCUAGUGUAGCGGUGAAAUGCGUAGAUAUUAGGAGGAACACCAGUGGCGAAGGCGGCUUACUGGACUGUAACUGACGUUGAGGCUCGAAAGCGUGGGGAGCAAACAGGAUUAGAUACCCGGGUAU